UGUGAAUGUGCCCCCACCCAGCCCUGCCCAAACGCAGUGAACACAAGUACUGAGUACCCGGGGGUACUGGGGGCUGAGAACUGGGUACCCAGGUACCAGCCCACAACCCAAGCUGGAUCCACCCGAAUGGAGCAGCUGUGGGGAACUCGGGAGGCCCCUGGGGGUGGGGGUGCCUGCCGCAGGCCUGCAGGGGUCCAGGGCGUGCGCCUUCCCCCGCAGCUGCAGCUCCUGCCUCUCCCCUCGGCCCCGGCAUCUCUGAUGGAUGGGUUUGGCCAAUUCGGGCCUCCAGUGACUUUCUUUGGGGAGGUGCCGACUCCCAGGAGGUGUUCAGGGACCCUGGGCCACACCUGCCGAUCCUUGACCAGUGAGACAGGCUGUUGAGGACCCAGCCUAGGCUGUGGUGCCGUGGGGAUCACCAGGUUCCCCCCUCCUCACGGCGCCCAGACCACUCCUCUGCCCCCCAGCUCAGAGCAGUGAGCUCUGGACUGUCCCAUAGUCACUAGACAUCCCAGCUAAGGCAUCAAGAAAAUCCAUGUGUAACCUUGGCAGGUUCCUCCCCAGUGCUGAUGCUUUUCCGUAACUAUUUAUCGGGACGCUUGGGAUCGAUGGAAACAGGUCAGCGCAUCUGGGGGCCAUCUGCACCCCUCGUCCCAAGGGCCUUGGGAUCCCCGUCUGGGAAGGACGGAGAAGGUAGCAGAUGUUUCUUCACCCUGCAGAUACACCUCUCAGCCUGCCUGGAACCCCACUUUCUUGACUCGGGUCAGGGGCCCGGGGCCCCAGGUGAGCCUGCUGAUGUGCAGGGCCCAUACCGGGGUCAGGGUUCAGCAUGUGAAGUGGACGCACUCACCUGAGCUUGCCGUCUCGGGGACGGGGGUGACCCCGGGAGGAGCUCAACCCCACAAAACCCACCCCUCCCCGCCAAGAUGUCUGAGUCGCAAAAACAAAAGGCUGCGAUGAACACGUUGGAGGGGCUGGAGAUCAGCAAAUGGCCGGGGCAGCUGUCCCCGCCAUUAUCCCUACGGGCUGCGUCUGCUCCUGGCUUCAGUGCGCCCAGCGAUGCCCCAGGGCGGCUUCGCUCCUGGCACCUUGCUCCGGGUCACUCCUGGCACGCUGGGAGUCCGGGCGGUGCCAAGGCUCCAACCCGGGGCCUCAGGCCCACUGAGCCCAUGCCCUUUAAACAGCUCCAGUCCCUGGUCUUUUUCUUUUCUUGAAAUACAAUCUGAAAUGUCA